GCUGGCAAAGCACAAGUGGACGUGCGGCCGAUUUGUAAUCGGCAGGGUGCGGGUUCGAGGCCCGCUGCCAGCCCCA
rnacentral:tRNA from 1 species